rnacentral:misc_RNA from 1 species
GCACAGAUAUGCAAAGCAGAAACCCUCGUGCAGGCCCGAAAGAGAAAGCGAACCAGUAUCGAGAACCGAGUGAGAGGCAACCUGGAGAAUUUGUUCCUGCAGUGCCCGAAACCCACACUGCAGCAGAUCAGCCACAUCGCCCAGCAGCUUGGGCUCGAGAAGGAUGUGGUCCGAGUGUGGUUCUGUAACCGGCGCCAGAAGGGCAAGCGAUCAAGCAGCGACUAUGCACAACGAGAGGAUUUUGAGGCUGCUGGGUCUCCUUUCUCAGGGGGACCAGUGUCCUUUCCUCUGGCCCCAGGGCCCCAUUUUGGUACCCCAGGCUAUGGGAGCCCUCACUUCACUGCACUGUACUCCUCGGUCCCUUUCCCUGAGGGGGAAGCCUUUCCCCCUGUCUCUGUCACCACUCUGGGCUCUCCCAUGCAUUCAAACUGAGGUGCCUGCCCUUCUAGGAAUGGGGGACAGGGGGAGGGGAGGAGCUAGGGAAAGAAAACCUGGAGUUUGUGCCAGGGUUUUUGGGAUUAAGUUCUUCAUUCACUAAGGAAGGAAUUGGGAACACAAAGGGUGGGGGCAGGGGAGUUUGGGGCAACUGGUUGGAGGGAAGGUGAAGUUCAAUGAUGCUCUUGAUUUUAAUCCCACAUCAUGUAUCACUUUUUUCUUAAAUAAAGAAGCCUGGGACACAGUAGAUAGACACACUUA